rnacentral:tRNA from 1 species
UGUUCUUUAGUUUAAUUAAAAAUAUUGGUUUUGUAAGUCUAAGAUAAGGGAAGGUUAACUUUAAGGGCAG